rnacentral:rRNA from 1 species
GGUGAACGCUGGCGGCGUGCUUGACACAUGCAAGUCGAACGGUAUGUGGCAACACAUAGAGUGGCGAACGGGUGAGUAACACGUGGGAACGUAUCUUUUGCAGGGGGAUAACUGACCGAAAGGACAGCUAAUACCGCAUAAGUCCGAGAGGAGAAAGGUGCAACAGCAUCGGCAGAAGAGCGGCCCGCGGUCCAUCAGCUAGUUGGUGAGGUAAGGGCUUACCAAGGCGACGACGGAUAGCCGGCGUGAGAGCGUGGCCGGCCACAAGGACACUGAGAUACGGGUCCUACUCCUACGGGAGGCAGCAGUGCGGAAUUUUAGAUAAUGGAGGGAACUCUGAUCUAGCGACGCCGCGUGCAGGAAGAAGGUC